ensembl:lncRNA
UUGACUAGUGCAUUAGAUCACAAAGCAUCAAUGUCAAUCUACAUGUCAGGGACACGUGUCAUCCAUAUAAGUGCUUAUUUCAAGACAUGAAAUAUUUGUCUCUGACAUUCUCACUUUUAAAAUGUCUAAAUACCUAUUAGAUAGAAAAGGUACAGUACACACUGGGAAUAGCACACCACAGCCAAAACAGAUACAAGUAAAUUUACAGUUUUUCUCGAUUGCUUUCUCGAUGCUGAGUAACCUGUACAUUUGCUACAUUUGGAAAUGAAGCUUUUGGAAAAUGGGUAUUUUAUUGUGCAUGGACUCUUCCUUACAUGUUUUGUCAGUGUGACAUUUCAAAGGUCAGGUUUUUGACCAAAACAGCAUAUACAUUAGUAUUCCCUUAUCCACUAAUGUACGAGGUAUUUAUUACAGUAGUAUUCCCUUAUCCACUAAUGUACGAGCUAUUUAUUACAGUAGUAUUCCCUUAUCCACUAAUGUACGAGCUAUUUAUUACAGUAGUAUUCCCUUAUCCACUAAUGUACGAGCUAUUUAUUACAGUAGUAUUCCCUUAUCCACUAAUGUAUGAGCUAUUUAUUACAGUAGUAUUCCCUUAUCCACUAAUGUACGAGGUAUUUAUUACAGUAGUAUUCCCUUAUCCACUAAUGUACGAGCUAUUUAUUACAGUAGUAUUCCCUUAUCCACUAAUGUACGAGGUAUUUAUUACAGUAGUAUUCCCUUAUCCACUAAUGUACGAGCUAUUUAUUACAGUACUGUUUUGAAGUUCUCUCGCCAGGGUGUUCCUGAAAAGAUUAUCUGGAUAGUCAGUGCUGUGAUUUUACAAAGUUCAACAUAAUUGAUCUGAAAACCUAUUCUAAACAUUUUGGUAGCAGUAUUUUGAAUAAAUCCCUCCAGUGUGUAACAAACAGUCAUGGAGUCUGUUUUUGACAGUUUGUGUGUGUUGUCUGAGGGCAAAGUUUGAAUUGGGACCCAGAAGUUAGAUGUUUGUACCGUUGGGUGUGAGUUUUUUACAAUUGUGUGUGAAGAUUUGAGAAAAUGGUGAGUUGUUCCAGGAAUUGUGUCUAAGCAAUUGAGAAACUGUAAAAGGGAUAAUCCACCCCGAGAAAUGAAACAGGUCAAUUUCGUGAAAGCCUAUGUUCAAUCAGUGGAUAAAAAAAUGUUUCCCUCAUGAUUAAAAUUUUAAGUGGUGCGUCUGCGAAACCAGGAAAUCAUGUAGGAACGCGUCAUAGCUACACGGUUCUCAUCACUGUAUAUAGUGUGUUUUCUCCUUCAAGUACCAUAAUGCAAUGUGUGUCUGUGGGAAACGUGGGAAAAAGGCAUCGUCCUCUGCUCUCGCUUGGUGAGAGAGCCUCCUAAAUUGAUAAUGUAGUUUGUUUACGUGAUUUUUAAAGCUACAGUGCCUUGCGAAAGUAUUCGGCCCCCUUGAACUUUGCGACCUUUUGCCACAUUUC